UGGGGAAUAUUGCACAAUGGGGGAAACCCUGAUGCCGCGACGCCGCGUGAACGAAGAAGGUAUUCGUAUCGUAAAGUUCUGUCCUAUGGGAAGAUAAUGACAGUACCAUAGAAGAAAGCUCCGGCUAAAUACGCGCCAGCCGCCGCGGUAAUACGUAUGGAGCGAGCGUUGUCCGGAAUUAUUUGGCGUAAAGGGUACGCAGGCGGUUUAAUAAGUCGAAUGUUAAAGAUCGGGGCUCAACCCCGUAAAGCAUUGGAAACUGAUAAACGUGGGUAGUGGAGAGGAAAGGGGAAUUCCGAGUGGAGUGGUGAAAUACGUAGCGAUUAGGAGGAAUACCAAAAGCGAAGGCGACGUUCUGGACACAAACUGACGCUGAGGUACGAAAGCGUGGGGAGCAAACAGG
rnacentral:rRNA from 1 species